GAUGAACGCUGGCGGCGUGCCUAAUACGUGCAAGUCGAGCGAACGGACGAGAAGCUUGCUUCUCUGAUGUUAGCGGCGGACGGGUGAGUAACACGUGGAUAACCUACCUAUAAGACUGGGAUAACUUCGGGAAACCGUAGCUAAUACCGGAUAAUAUUUUGAACCUCAUGGUUCAAAAGUGAAAGACGGUCUUGCUGUCACUUAUAGAUGGAUCCGCGCUGCAUUAGCUAGUUGGUAAGGUAACGGCUUACCAAGGCAACGAUGCAUAGCCGACCUGAGAGGGUGAUCGGCCACACUGGAACUGAGACACGGUCCAGACUCCUACGGGAGGCAGCAGUAGGGAAUCUUCCGCAAUGGGCGAAAGCCUGACGGAGCAACGCCGCGUGAGUGAUGAAGGUCUUCGGAUCGUAAAACUCUGUUAUUAGGGAAGAACAUAUGUGUAAGUAACUGUGCACAUCUGGACGGUACCUAAUCAGAAAGCCACGGCUAACUACGU
rnacentral:rRNA from 1 species